UUUUUUGUUAUUAAUUCUCUUCUUUGUGGUGAUUUUAAAACGAUUUUACAGUAGUAUUUUUUUUUUACUAUUUAAAUCUAAUUUUCUAAUCAAAUGAGGUGGGAAUAAUUAUCUUAUUUUGAUUUGGGGGGUUACUGAUGAACUAAAAAAAUGACAUCACUGCCUGAGACUUUGAACUAAAGAUGAUCUGUUAGUUUUCAAUAAGGAUUGUUUACUAAAACGCUUACUUCUAGUAGUAGUUUUUAUUUUUUUUUUACUAAUUUUAAAUACUUAAUUUUUACUAAUACAAAUGGAGGGUGGGAAAUUAAUUAUCUUUUAUUUUUUAGGUUUUGGGGGUUACUGAUGAACUAAAAAAAAUGACAUCACUGCCUGAGACUUUGAACUAAAGAUGAUCUGUUAGUUUUCAAUAAGGAUGUUUACUAAAACGCUUCUCUGUAUGUACAGUACGUGACGUAUGUGUGAUGCUGGCUCAGGGAAAAUGUCAUCUUGCAGCAUCGUGAGGGUCCAGUGUCUCAGCCAUUUGCUUUGAUCAGUGCGAGGCGAAGGUCUUGGACUGUAAACUGCAUGAGCACCCGUCCAAAUAAGACACAAAGGCCUCAAAACACAACCAUAGCGACAGACAGAGAUCCAGCACAGAGCUUUUAAAGGAUCGGAAUCUUUGAGAGGGCAGAAGAAAGAAGCGUUCGGUGAUAAGGUGUACCUGUAUUUGUGAGGCAAUAAAGGAGAGGUCACAAACAACAGGAAGUGGAGCAGGGGGAGUGAAAGGUGUUCACAGGGCUCACGGUCUUCAAGCCACCAGCAUCUGAUAUCAUGCACAAGUUCUUGCUGAAGGACCUAAGUUCUCUUAGCCGGAGGCUUGAGCACCUGCACGCAGUGACCGCUGGUGGCUCUAGGACAAGAGGUUUGAUUGACAGCAGCCCCGGCUGGAGUGUUAUUCAUCAAGAGGAUGUAACACACACUGAUAGACGUCUUUAUACAGCUGUCAUUCCAAAGCUGUCUGUUCUUCAUCUCAGAGUAAAAAAAAGGUAAGUAUUAGUGACUUUAUUUCUGGCUUUAUGUUUUGUGACUAUGCCUUUGUAUCUCACAACUGACUAUUUUUCUUUUAAUACUGACUUUAGUAUGUUAUUUUAGUAUAGAUUAUAUUCUUAAUAAUAUUAGUUAUUAUUAAUAAUAUUAAUAUAUUAAUAAUUCUAUAAUUAAUAUUACUAGAAAAACCAUAUGAAUUUUACAUGUGACAUGUGACGUACAUAAUAGUAAUCAAAGUACUUAAACUUAAUUAUUUCAGUCAGUCGCCAAAGCAACAUUUCUCAUUUUCAUUAAAAUGUUUAAUUUUAAUUAAAAAAAAACACAUUAAU
rnacentral:lncRNA from 1 species